UACGGGGGGGGCAAGCGUUGUUCGGAAUUACUGGGCGUAAAGCGUGCGUAGACGGCUAUCUAAGUCGGGUGUGAAAGCCCCGGGCUCAACCUGGGAAUUGCAUUCGAGACUGAAUAGCUAGGGUACGGUAGAGGGAAGUGGAAUUUCCGGUGUAGCGGUGAAAUUCGUAGAUAUCAGGAGGAACACCGAUGGCGAAGGCAGGUCUCUGGGCCACUACUGACGCUGAGAAGCGAAAGCGUGGGGAGCGAACAGG
rnacentral:rRNA from 1 species